AAAAAAAAAAAAAAAAUCCCCACUCCUCAAGUCUUACCUCCCUGGUGGUCCACAAAUCCUCUUCUGGAGGUCUCUCACUGCCCCAGACAUGCUUCCUGUAACUCUGCUCAGGGCAGCUCUGCACAGCUCACUCUGCACUCUGAAUGAUGAUGCUACAUAGUUACAUAGCUGAAAAGAGACUUGCGUCCAUCAAGUUCAGCCUUCC